AUUGAACGCUGGCGGCAGGCCUAACACAUGCAAGUCGAACGGUAACAGGAAGCAGCUUGCUGUUUCGCUGACGAGUGGCGGACGGGUGAGUAAUGUCUGGGAAACUGCCUGAUGGAGGGGGAUAACUACUGGAAACGGUAGCUAAUACCGCAUAACGUCGCAAGACCAAAGAGGGGGACCUUCGGGCCUCUUGCCAUCGGAUGUGCCCAGAUGGGAUUAGCUAGUAGGUGGGGUAACGGCUCACCUAGGCGACGAUCCCUAGCUGGUCUGAGAGGAUGACCAGCCACACUGGAACUGAGACACGGUCCAGACUCCUACGGGAGGCAGCAGUGGGGAAUAUUGCACAAUGGGCGCAAGCCUGAUGCAGCCAUGCCGCGUGUAUGAAGAAGGCCUUCGGGUUGUAAAGUACUUUCAGCGGGGAGGAAGGGAGUAAAGUUAAUACCUUUGCUCAUUGACGUUACCCGCAGAAGAAGCACCGGCUAACUCCGUGCCAGCAGCCGCGGUAAUACGGAGGGUGCAAGCGUUAAUCGGAAUUACUGGGCGUAAAGCGCACGCAGGCGGUUUGUUAAGUCAGAUGUGAAAUCCCCGGGCUCAACCUGGGAACUGCAUCUGAUACUGGCAAGCUUGAGUCUCGUAGAGGGGGGUAGAAUUCCAGGUGUAGCGGUGAAAUGCGUAGAGAUCUGGGGGAAUACCGGUGGCGAAGGCGGCCCCCUGGACGAAGACUGACGCUCAGGUGC
rnacentral:rRNA from 1 species